rnacentral:rRNA from 1 species
GACGAACGCUGGCGGCGUGCCUAAUACAUGCAAGUCGAACGAACAGCGACUUGAACUUGUUCAAGUCAAUGUUAGUGGCGCACGGGUGAGUAACACGUGGAGAACCUACCCUUAAGCGGGGGAUAACCAUUGGAAACGAUGACUAAUACCGCAUAGAAUCACAGAUCACAUGCUCAAUGAAGGAAAGACGGCUUCGGCUGUCACUUAACGAUGGCUCCGCGGUGCAUUAGCUAGAUGGUGGGGUAAAGGCAUACCAUGGCAAUGAUGCAUAGCCGACCUGAGAGGGUGAUCGGCCACAUUGGGACUGAGACACGGCCCAAACUCCGACAGGAGGCAGCAGUAGGGAAUCUUCCGCGAUGGAGGAAAGUCUGACGGAGCAACGCCGCGUGUGUGAAGAAGGUCUUCGGAUCGUAAAGCACUGUUGUUAGAGAAGAACGACAGGUAGAGUAACUGUGACCGGAGUGACGGUAUCUAACCAGAAAGCCACGGCUAACUACGUG